rnacentral:rRNA from 1 species
CCCUACGGGAGGCAGCAGUGAGGAAUAUUGGUCAAUGGGAGAGAUCCUGAACCAGCCAAGCCGCGUGAGGGAAGACGGCCCUAUGGGUUGUAAACCUCUUUUGUCGGAGAACAAAACCCGGGACGAGUCCCGGACUGCGUGUAUCCGAAGAAAAAGCAUCGGCUAACUCCGUGCCAGCAGCCGCGGUAAUACGGAGGAUGCGAGCGUUAUCCGGAUUUAUUGGGUUUAAAGGGUGCGUAGGCGGUCUGUUAAGUCAGCGGUAAAAUUGCGGGGCUCAACCCCGUCGUGCCGGUGAAACUGGCAGA